rnacentral:rRNA from 1 species
GCAAGUCGAACGGUAACAUGUCUAGCUUGCUAGACGAUGACGAGUGGCGGACGGGUGAGUAAUGCCUGGGAACUUGCCUUAGCGAGGGGGAUAACCAUUGGAAACGAUGGCUAAUACCGCAUACGACCUACGGGUGAAAGGGGGCUUUUAGCUCUCGCGCAAAGAGAGGCCCAGGUGAGAUUAGCUAGUUGGUGAGGUAAAGGCUCACCAAGGCGACGAUCUCUAGCUGUUCUGAGAGGAUGAUC